AGACGAAGGAUGCAAGCGUUAUCCGGAUUCAUUGGGUUUAAAGGGAGCGUAGGCGGCCUUAUAAGUCAGUGGUGAAAUCUUUGGGCUUAACCCAAAAAUUGCCAUUGAUACUGUAGGGCUUGAGUACAGUUGCUGUGGGCGGAAUAUGACAUGUAGUGGUGAAAUACAUAGAGAUGUCAUAGAACACCGAUUGCGAAGGCAGCUCACAAAACUGUAACUGACGCUGAGGCUCGAAAGUGCGGGGAUC
rnacentral:rRNA from 1 species